GUAGUUAGCCGUGGCUUGUUCUUCAGGUACCGUCAUUUUUUNUUCCCUGAUCAAAGAAGUUUACAACCCGAAAGCCUUCUUCCUUCACGCGGCGUUGCUGCGUCAGGGUUUCCCCCAUUGCGCAAUAUUCCCC
rnacentral:rRNA from 1 species